UCUGAUAUGGCAGACUAGUGCAACGGAUUUAAGCUUCGUAUAUAAAGUAUUUUACUUUUAUCAGAA
rnacentral:tRNA from 1 species